AUACGUAGGGGGCGAGCGUUGUCCGGAAUGAUUGGGCGUAAAGGGCGCGUAGGCGGCUACGGAAGUCUGGAGUGGAAGUCCUAUUUUCAAGGUAGGAAUUGCUUUGGAAACUCCGCAGCUUGAGUGCAGGAGAGGUUAUCGGAAUUCCCGGUGUAGCGGUGAAAUGCAUAGAGAUCGGGAGGAACACCAGUGGCGAAGGCGGGUAACUGGACUGCAACUGACGCUGAGGCGCGAAAGUGUGGGGAGCAAACAGGAUUAGAUACCCUGGUAGUCCACACUGUAAACGAUGAAUGCUAGGUGUAGGUGGUAUCGACCCCAUCUGUGCCGUCGUAAACACAAUAAGCAUUCCGCCUGGGGAGUACGGUCGCAAGAUUAAAACUCAAAGGAAUUGACGGGGGCCCGCACAAGCAGCGGAGCAUGUGGUUUAAUUCGAAGCAACGCGAAGAACCUUACCAGGUCUUGACAUCCGCUUUAGGCAUAUAGAGAUAUAUGUGGAACUUCGGUUCAAAGCGAGACAGGUGGUGCAUGGUUGUCGUCAGCUCGUGUCGUGAGA
rnacentral:rRNA from 1 species